rnacentral:rRNA from 1 species
AACGAACGCUGGCGGCAUGCCUAACACAUGCCAGUCGAACGAGACCUUCGGGUCUAGUGGCGCACGGGUGCGUAACGCGUGGGAACCUGCCCUUAGGUUCGGAAUAACUCCCCGAAAGGGGUGCUAAUACCGGAUAAUGUCUUCGGACCAAAGAUUUAUCGCGAUUGGAUCGGGCCGCGUUGGAUUAGCUAGUUGGUAGGGUAAAAGCGCGCCAAGGCGACGUGCCAUAGCUGGACGGGGUGCAGGACCAGCCACAAUGGGACUGAGACACGGCCCAGACUCGUACGGGACGGAGCAGUAGGGAAUAUUAGACGAUGGGCGAAAGCGUGAUCCAGCAGCGCCGCGUGAGUGGUGAAGGCGUUAGGGUUGUAAUUCUCUCUGACCCGAGGCGAUAAUGACAGUACCGGGAGAAUAAGCACCGGCUAACUACGUG